rnacentral:tRNA from 1 species
GGGAAGGUAGCUCAGUGGUAGAGCGCUUGCCUUGCAUGUAUGAAGCCCUGGGUUCAAUUCCUCAGCACCA